rnacentral:pre_miRNA from 1 species
CCAUUGUUUGGAUAAUAAUUUGAAGAAUUUUCAAAAUGAUGGAAAUUUAUGAAGUAUUUUGUUCAAGUUAAAAUUAGAGAAUUUCAAAUGACACCUAAAAGUGUGUUUGGAUGAAUGAAUGUUUUGAGGGAAUUCAAAUACUUUAAGAUGAAUUCCAUUGUUUGGAUAAUAAUUUGAAGAAUUUUCAAAAUGAUG